CUGGAUGAGGUGUAAGUGGUUGCAUGAGGCGUUUGGAUCGCCGGGGUUGGGAGUUCGAGUCUCUCCAUUCAGA
rnacentral:tRNA from 1 species